GUGCACAGUCAUUUCCUCUGAUGUGAUACUUUUAUUUCUUUGUCUUCAAUGUUCCAGAUUCAGUUUUAACAGUAAUUUAAUCCUUCCUUUUGUUGUCAUACUGAAAAUUGCUGCAUUCCAAAAGUUGUAUGUGACAUGGCAUGGGGUUUUCAUAUUCAGCAUUGUUAUAGUUUUGUUAUAAGGCCUCAAGCUUUUAUCUUUAAAACAUUGAUUUCACUUUCUUUUCAUGCAUAGAACUAAAACUAUCCCCAUAUAUGGUUACAAAAUUUCUGACAAUUUCCAUGUGUGUGUUGA
rnacentral:lncRNA from 1 species